CCUACGGGUGGCAGCAGUGAGGAAUAUUGGUCAAUGGACGAGAGUCUGAACCAGCCAAGUAGCGUGAAGGAUGACUGCCCUAUGGGUUGUAAACUUCUUUUAUAUGGGAAUAAAACGUUCCACGUGUGGGAUUUUGUAUGUACCAUAUGAAUAAGGAUCGGCUAACUCCGUGCCAGCAGCCGCGGUAAUACGGAGGAUCCGAGCGUUAUCCGGAUUUAUUGGGGUUAAAGGGAGCGUAGGUGGAUUGUUAAGUCAGUUGUGAAAGUUUGCGGAUCAACCGUAAAAUGGCAGUUGAAACUGGCAGUCUUGAGUACAGUAGAGGUGGGCGGAAUUCGUGGUGUAGCGGUGAAAUGCUUAGAUAUCACGAAGAACUCCGAUUGCGAAGGCAGUUCACUGGACUGCAACUGACACUGAGGCUCGAAAGUGUGGGUAUCAAACAGGAUUAGAUACCCUAGUAGUC
rnacentral:rRNA from 1 species